UCUUUAUUUAUUUUUUUCUUUUUGGCCAUAUCUUUGGCACAUGGAGGUCCCCAGGCCAGAGAUUGAAUCUGAGCCACAGCUGUGUCAAUGCCAGAUCCUAACCACUGUGCCACGGCAGGAACUCCCAAAUGUCCACACCUUUGACAUGUUUACCCUAAUCUUGAGAAUUUAUCAUCAGAAAAUAAUUAAAAAGAAAGGAAGAGUUCCCGUUGUGGAGCAGUGAAAACGAAUGUGACAAGGAACCAGGAGGUUUCAGGUUCGAUCCCUAGCCUCUCUCAGUGGGUUAAGGAUCCUGCGUUGCUGUGAGCUGUGGUGUAGGCCGGCAGCUACAGCUCCAAUUAGAUCCCUAGCAUGGGAACCUCCAUAUGCCGCAGGUGCAGCCCUAAAAAGGCAAAAAAAAAAAAAAAGAAAAAAAAAGAAGAAAGGAAAAAUAUAUGUACCAGUUUAUUAGUUAUAUUCACUACAAUAUUAAACACUGAGAUGAUCUAGAUAUCCAAUAAUAGAACAACUUAGUAACUUAUGCCAUAUUAUGCAAUUAUUAUAAGAAUGAGGAGAUUGUAAGCAAAAAUCAGAAUAAAAUUUCACUUACUAUAAUUACAGUUAUUUAAAUUUUUAUGCAUACAAAUAAAGAGUAUAAGGGAAAAUGGAAAAACAGGCAUUAUCGAUGGAUUAGGGAAUUAUGGAUUUUGUUUUGAAAAAUAUAACUUAUAAAUAUCUUCUAAAACUGCCAUAAUGGUUAGCAUGAUGUUUUAAAAAUAUAAAUAGGAAGCCAUUUCCUCUCUUAGUAACUGGACCCUCCCCCUAUAAUCACCAUAUUUGUUCCCCCCACCCCAGCCACCCCCAGGAUAGAACCAAUCCUGGUGACUCUGUAUUGGACCUCAUCUGAGGAACCAGGUACUAAAGGUCCCAGGGUCACAGUAAGGGGAUUCCACAGAGCCAGAGACUCCAGUGUUUGACAGGCUAGUAUGAUCCAGUCAGCACUUUUGGCCCAGGUUUUCCAAGCAUUGGCAAAGAAUGCCAAGCUCUUCUGAAUAAGGCAAUGACAAAUUGAUAGCAAUUGAGCUUGAGAAUGACCUCCCUUUGUUGGUUACAGGGGAAAAAAAAAAGAGAGAGAGGCAAGAUAAACUUCAAAAUUUAAGAAGUAAGUAAGAGAAAAAGCAAUCCAGACUCUAACUGGAUUAAACAGUGACCCCUGAACUAUUAAGACCUGAGAAAGGUUGCUGUGGCUGUGGUGUAGGCCAGCAGCUGCAGCUCCGAAUGGACCCCUAUCCUGGAAACUUCCAUAUGCUGCAGGUGCAGCCCUAAAAAAAAAAAAAAAAAAAAAAAAAAAAAAUUAAAAUUAAAAAAAAUAAUGAAAAUUUUAAAAAGACCCAGGAAAGGAAACCCAAAGGUCAGGAUGGUUGUUCCCUGAAGAAACUACAUGUGCUGACACAACCAAAAAGGACAUAGGGUACUGUUAUCACAUGAAAUAUAUCAGAAACAGGGAACAGUGUAUUCACAGAAUAUCAUGAAAACCAGUUCUGCAGUACUCUGAGUCUUCCUUUCAUGAAAAUUUCUUUUCCAAUAAAAUUACCCUUCAGCCCUUAUAGUCCCUGUCCUUACUUCUCAAAUUCCAAGGCACCAAAUAAUUUCAUGCUUUCCUUACCCACUCCAUUCAAACCCUGCUCAAAUAAGGACCUAAGAGGCUCGCUCAAAGUAAGACUAAAAAGCCUGCAAGAAGUUGUUUUCCCAGGAUGCCCUUGUAUUUUGGAGAUACAGCGAAAGCACCUCUAUGCUUUGCUGCCAGCUUCCUGUCCUUGGUGUAACUGUCAACUCUCCACUCAGGGUAUCCUGUCAACCAGGUCAUUUCCCCAGCCCUCCACUUCACAGUGAGUAUGUGACUCAGUCUGAAUCAACAGUCUCUGGAUACAAUGCCUGUGGGCACAGAAGCCAUGAAGGUAUGCCAGUUCUUGGUCCUUUCCUCUCCCUGCCCCUGCUGUGCACUGUAUCAGAGGGGACUGAACAGCAGUUUCCUGGCUCAAGUGGCUUCUGGCUGGCUGCAGCCAGUGGGACACUGAUAGCAACCUGCAGGGCAGGAGGAGGGGGAUGCUAAUGGCCAGUUUCCAGCCAUUAAAACCCAAUGUGAGGAUGAGGCUAAACAUGGAAGGACAAAGCCAAGAAAACAGGGAGAGAAAAAGAGAAUCCUGACAUGUUCUUUGAACUCACUGAGUUUAAACUCUAAAUACAAAGUUAGUGGUCCAAAGCAGGACACUAGAGUUAAAAGGGGCUACUAGUAAUACUUAAGUCAGGACAAUAGGAACAAAUUGGGACUGGCUCAGACAAACCAAAACAUACAGUCAACUCACUUAAACUCAACUCAGCCCCUACACUUUACGAUGAAUUGAACCAUUAAACUCUGACUCUUAACCUAAUUGGAGUUGCAUCUCCCUCACUAAAAACUAAAAUUCCUGACCAGUGUAUGAGGUGAAGGCUUAAAUCAGUAGAAUUAUUUCCAGGGUUCCCUUGUGGUACAACAGGUUAAGGAUCUGGUUGCAGCAGCUCAAGUUGCUGCUGUGGCAGGGGAUCAGUCGCUGGCCUGGGAAUGCCCUCAUGCUCCAGGUGCAGCCAAAAAAAAAAUAGAAUUAUUUCCAAGUGGCAGGAUUUCAGCGUAGGCAGGGGAACAGUACUGCCCACCUGACUUAACUCCACAACAUGCAUGUGGAGCUUCCACAUUUCUGGUACAGCCAUUCCAGGAACAUGGUAUGGAAUUAUGGUUGAUCUACCCCCAAAUCAUGGAAAAAAUGAAAACUAAAACCACCAAGGGAACAAUAUAUUUCACCCUCGGACUUAAUGUAGUUCUUUGGUUACUUUUUUUCCCCCACAUUUAAAGUGACCUUUACUAGGAGAUCCUGUCGUGGCUCAGCGGAAACGAAUCUGACUGGUAUCCGUGGGGAUGCAGGUUUGAUCCCUGGCCUCGCUCAGUAGGUCAGGGAUCCAGUGUUGCUGUGAGCUGUGGUGUAGGUCACAGACGUGGCUUGGAUCCUGAGUUGCUGUGGUGUAGGGCUGGUUGAGUUGUGAGUUGCUCUGAUUAGACCCCUUGCCUGGGAACUUCCAUAUGCUGCAGGCAUGGCCCUAAAACG
rnacentral:lncRNA from 1 species